AGGAAGAAAGGCCUGGUGAUCUACUUCAGAAAAAUCAGCCAUUGAAAACCCUGUGUAGCACAGUUCUGCUCCGGCACAAGUAGAGUCGCCACAAGUCGGAGACAACUGGACAGCGAUUGGUUGGGAGAGUCCUCUUGGAAGCAAGAUGAGCCUGCAGUUUCCAGAGCAGAACCAGACUCCUGCGUCAUGUUUAUGGCACCUGUCUUUCCACAUAUUCGAGCACAGGACUUUGCUUCUCCCAGCACAUCUCUCUUCAGAGACACAGCUCAACAGACACAGCUCUGAAGCAACAAAGAAGCAGCUCUUUCUCAAGGGGUCUCCUCUUCUCCCUGCUUCCUGACAAAUGGGGCCUAGCUUUGUCCCUUGUGGAUUUAGGGCAGAUGUCCUGGUGCUGUAACAUGGAGGACAGGCAGCUGAUGGCCUUCUAAGCACCACUGGAUGUGGGCCUCAGAAUUUCCUAAUGGGGUAUCAGGCUUAAAUGACAGACAUUGUGAUCCUAAGGAGGAGUCCAGCUGAGGCAAAAAGAAUCACCUACCUCGGACUCAGUCAUGACUGAAGAGCAGGAAAAAAAAUGCUGAACCACAGACAUCAAGAUGGAUUAUCAGACACAAAUAUUCCAGAGCCAGAGAAGCUUCCAGACUCCCACACCUGCUUGCCUGCUUGAAAGUGGAGUUAAUUCAGCAGCUGGCCCUGGGCUCUGUUCCCCUUCAGUGAGAAGGGUUUUUGUACAACCAGGCAAUGAAGAGCUAUCACUGUGGUGGACGUUCGGCGCAGGGACCAAGGUGGACCUCAAACGGGCUGAUGCUAAACCAACAGUCUUCAUCUUCCCACCAGCUGACGAGCAGGUAAAGAGCGGAAGUGCCUCUGUAGUGUGUUUGGUGAAUGAGUUCUUCCCCAGAGACAUCCAGGUGAAGUGGAAGGUGGACGGUACCCAGCAGACAAGCAACAUCCUGGAGAGCUUCACAGAGCAGGACAGCAAGGGCACCUACAGUCUCAGUAGCACAUUGACACUCCCUGCGAACACCUACAAUGCACAUAAACGCUACGUCUGCGAGAUCACCCACAAGACCCUGCCCUCGCCCCACGAAGAGGGUUUCAACAGGGACGAGUGUUAGAAGGAGGCAGCCUGAGGCACCCAUGCCUGGUCCUCAGUCCCAGCCUCGCCCCCUCCCCUCCCUAGGCCUCUGGCCCCUUCCCCACAAAACACCUAUCCUUAUUUCAGCCCUCCAACUAUCCCCUCAUCUCAUCUCCCCUUCUCUUCUUGUUUGGCUUUAAUCAUACUAAUAUUUGUGGAAAAAGAAAAAGAAUAAAAAUGAAAAUGCCUUGCACCUGUG